CAGAGCUCAAGUGUUUGUAUUAUGCUCUUCUGAUGACAAGGGCGGAAGGCCAACGUAUAUUGGUACAAUUGAAAGGUGGUCAAAUGUAAAACUCAUCCUUCCUAAUACCAAAUGUGCCUCCAACAUCAGCUUAUUUGUUUUGGUUGAAAACAUGGGCCGUGUAAAUUAUGGACCAUACAUGUUUGAUAGGAAGGGAAUUUUGUCUUCUGUUUAUCUUGAUGG
rnacentral:misc_RNA from 1 species